AUUGAACGCUGGCGGCAGGCCUAACACAUGCAAGUCGAGCGAGCGGCGGACGGGUGAGUAAUGUCUGGUGACUGCCCGAUAGAGGGGGAUAACUACUGUAAACGGUGGCUAAUACCGCAUACUAUCUGAUGACCCAUAUGGGAUUAGCUAGUAGGUGGGGUAAAGGCUCACCUAGGCGACGAUCUCUAGCUGGUCUGAGAGGAUGUGCAGCCAACCUGGGACUGAGAAACGGCCCAGACGCCUACGGAGGCAGCAGUGGGGAAUAUUGCAGAAUGGGCGCAAGGUUGCUGCAGCCAUGCCGAGUGUAUGAAGAAGGCCUUAGGGUUUUAAAGUACUUUCAGCGGGGAGGCGUUACCCGCAGAAGAAGCACCGGCUAACUCCGUGCCAGCAGCCGCGGUAAUUC
rnacentral:rRNA from 1 species